UAAAAAUAUGAAAAACAUGCUUUUGAAGUAAAGUUAUGAUUUUUCCUUUCUUUUUGAAAACCCAUUUUAGGGGUCCAUUUUGACCCUGAAUAAAAAAUAAUUAAUAUGGAUGUCGUUGAUUUUAUUUGAUGCGCAGAUUCCAUAUUUGAGUUUUUAGAGGAGUUCGAUAUUAUUCGUGGAAAGUAAGAUCAUGGGUUCAAAGUGUAGCGGACAAAUUUUGACUUUUGAGGUAGGUUAUGACUUAACUCUUUUAGACUGGGUUGAGUAAUAAAUGAUGGCACAAAAUGCAUGUUAAGGGUGGG
rnacentral:lncRNA from 1 species